GUGAAAUUGUUGAAAGGGAAGCGCUUGCAACCAGACCUGCCUGCAGUUGCUCAUCCGUGGCUUUUGCCCGGUGCACUCUUCUGCUGUCAGGCCAGCAUCAGUUCGGGCGGUCGGAUAAAGGCUUCGGGAAUGUAGCUCCUCUCGGGGAGUGUUAUAGCCCGUUGCGAAAUGCGGCCAGCCUGGACUGAGGUCCGCGCUUCGGCUAGGAUGCUGGCGUAAUGGUUGUAAGCGGCCCGUCUUGAAACACGGACCAAGGAGUCUAACAUCUGUGCGAGUGUUUGGGUGUUAAACCCGUACGCGUAAUGAAAGUGAACGGAGGCGGGAACCCCUCGGGGUGCACCGUCGACCGAUCCUGAUGUCUUCGGAUGGAUUUGAGUAAGAGCAUAGCUGUUGGGACCCGAAAGAUGGUGAACUAUGCCUGAAUAGGGUGAAGCCAGAGGAAACUCUGGUGGAGGCUCGCAGCGGUUCUGACGUGCAAAUCGAUCGUCAAAUUUGGGCAUAGGGGCGAAAGACUAAUCGAACUAUCUAGUAGCUGGUUCCUGCCGAAGUUUCCCUCAGGAUAGCAGUAACGUUUUCAGUUUUAUGAGGUAAAGCGAAUGAUUAGAGGCCUGGGGGUUGAAACAACCUUCACCUAUUCUCAAACUUUAAAUAUGUAAGAAGUCCUUGUUGCUCAGUUGAACGUGGACAUUUGAAUGUAUCGUUACUAGUGGGCCAUUUUUGGUAAGCAGAACUGGCGAUGCGGGAUGA
rnacentral:rRNA from 1 species